AAAAAACUAGUUAAUAUAUAUAAUACUGGCUUGUCAAGCCAAAGUUACUGAAACCAGUGUUUUUUG
rnacentral:tRNA from 1 species